AUCCAUUGUCGCCUCCCCACGCCCCACUGCGAGGACCAUGGCGCUGCUGCCGUCCACCACCGCGACGGCCGACGACGGGGCCUCCCCUACCGCUACGACCUACAGCAGAGCCAAGACGUUCCCCACCGCGACGACAGACGACGGAUCCAUCUCUCGCUGCGACGACCUACUACGCAGCUGUCCCCCAUGACGGCGCCGCCGGGCGGAUGCUACGGAGGUAUCCGGCGAUAGCCGGCGGGGCUACCAACGGCGCUGAUGUAGGCGUCCACCUCGCCGAAGAUCUCCUGUGCGAGGAAGGCUCCCGCAAGGCACGCUGCCGACGGGGCAGGCGGUGGAAUGUGAUGUUGGUCGUUUGAAGCUUGAUUCUACAGUGCCUCCUUACAGCAGAUUUGUUGUGCGUGCUUGUCAUGUAGAGAUGAAAUUUCUGAAUGCAAUUUUGAUCUUGUGAGGUGUUAUCACUCAACGUGAAAGCAUUGUUGAUUCUCUUUAUUUAGACUGAACGGUGCUCCAACGAUGUAAUCUGAGAAUUUGUAAAGACAAAUUUUUCUGAAU
rnacentral:rRNA from 1 species